rnacentral:rRNA from 1 species
GGUAGGGGCGCUUUUAUUGGUCCAAGACCAUUCGCCCGGUUCUCCGGGCGUCUCCUUGAUGAAUCCAAAUAACAAAUCAGAUCGCAUGGUCUUUGUACCGGCGACUUAUCUUUCAAAUGCCUGACUUAUCAACUGACGAUGGUAGACUCUGUGUCUACCAUGGCUCCUACGGGUAACGGGGAAUCAGGGUUCGAUUCCGGAGAGGGAGCCUGAGAAACGGCUACCACAUCCAAGGAAGGCAGCAGGCACGCAAAUUACCCACUCCCGGCACGGGGAGGUAGUGACAAAAAAUAACGAUACGGGACUCGAUAUGAGGCCCCGUAAUCGGAAUGAGUACACUUUAAAUCCUUUAACAAGGAUCAAUUGGAGGGCAAGUCCGGUGCCAGCAGCCGCGGUAAUUCCGGCUCCAAUAGCGUAUAUUAAAGUUGUUGCGGUUAAAAAGCUCGUAGUUGGUUCUGCGUGCCGCGCUGUCGGUUCACCGCCUGCCGGUGCAACUGGCAUGCCGCGGCAUGUCCUGUCGGUGGCGGACAGGCCUCCCGGCGUGCCCUACGCGUUUAACAGCGUGUAGGCCGCCGCGCCGGGUCGUCCUUGAACGCCGGCUCAAUCCUACCGCGGUGCUCUUUACCGAGUGUCGAGGUAGGCCGACACUGUUUACUUUGAACAAAUUAGAGUGCUUAAAGCAGGCUCUUAAAUCAGCCUGAAUAGUGGUGCAUGGAAUAAUGGAACAGGACCUUGGUUCUAUUUUGUUGGUUUUCGGAAUCCAAGGUAAUGAUCAAUAAGGACAGGCGGGGGCAUUCGUAUUGCGGCGUUAGAGGUGAAAUUCUUGGAUCGUCGCAAGACGCACUAGAGCGAAAGCAUUUGCCAAGUAUGUCUUAAUUGAUCAAGAACGAAAGUUAGAGGUUCGAAGGCGAUCAGAUACCGCCCUAGUUCUAACCAUAAACGAUGCCAGCCAGCGAUCCGCCGAUGUUCCUCCGAUGACUCGGCGGGGAGCUUUCCCCGGGAAACCAAAGCUUUUGGGUUCCGGGGGAAGUAUGGUUGCAAAGCUGAAACUUAAAGGAAUUGACGGAAGGGCACCACCAGGAGUGGAGCCUGCGGCUUAAUUUGACUCAACACGGGAAACCUCACCAGGCCCGGACAUUGGAAGGAUUGACAGAUCGAUAGCUCUUUCUCGAUUCAGUGGGUAGUGGUGCAUGGCCGUUCUUAGUUGGUGGACUGAUUUGUCUGGUUAAUUCCGAUAACGAACGAGACUCUAGCCUAUUAACUAGGCGUUGCCGGUAUAAACAGCUACCGGCGAGAUUUUUUCUUCUUAAGGGGACAGGCGGCUCUCAGCCGCACGAGAUUGAGCAAUAACAGGUCUGUGAUGCCCUUAGAUGUUCUGGGCCGCACGCGCGCUACACUGAAGGAAUCAGCGUGUGCUCCCCUGUCCGAAAGGUCCGGGUAACCCGCUGAACCUCCUUCGUGCUAGGAAUUGGGGCUUGCGAAUUGUUCCCCAUGAACGAGGAAUUCCCAGUAAGCGCGAGUCAUAAGCU